GCCAGACUCCUACGGGAGGCAGCAGUGGGGGAUAUUGCACAAUGGGGGAAACCCUGAUGCAGCGACGCCGCGUGGGCGAAGAAGUAUUUCGGUAUGUAAAGCCCUAUCAGCAGGGAAGAAGAAAUGACGGUACCUGAGUAAGAAGCACCGGCUAAAUACGUGCCAGCAGCCGCGGUAAUACGUAGGGGGCAAGCGUUAUCCGGAUUUACUGGGUGUAAAGGGGGCGCAGACGGCAGCGCAAGCCAGGAGUGAAAGCCCGGGGCCCAACCCCGGGACUGCUCUUGGAACUGCGCGGCUGGAGUGCAGGAGGGGCAGGCGGAAUUCCUGGUGUAGCGGUGAAAUGCGUAGAUAUCAGGAGGAACACCGGUGGCGAAGGCGGCCUGCUGGACUGCGACUGACGUUGAGGCCCGAAAGCGUGGGGAGCAAACAGGAUUAGAUACCCCAGUACG
rnacentral:rRNA from 1 species